rnacentral:rRNA from 1 species
GUGGGGAAUUUUGGACAAUGGGCGCAAGCCUGAUCCAGCAAUGCCGCGUGCAGGAAGAAGGCCUUCGGGUUGUAAACUGCUUUUGUACGGAACGAAACGGUCCGGGUUAAUACCCUGGGCUAAUGACGGUACCGUAAGAAUAAGCACCGGCUAACUACGUGCCAGCAGCCGCGGUAAUACGUAGGGUGCAAGCGUUAAUCGGAAUUACUGGGCGUAAAGCGUGCGCAGGCGGUUUUGUAAGACAGGCGUGAAAUCCCCGGGCUCAACCUGGGAAUUGCGCUUGUGACUGCAAGGCUGGAGUGCGGCAGAGGGGGAUGGAAUUCCGCGUGAAGCAGUGAAAUGCGUAGAUAUGCGGAGGAACACCGAUGGCGAAGGCAAUCCCCUGGGCCUGCACUGACGCUCAUGCACGAAAGCGUGGGGAGCAAACAGGAUUAGAUACCCUAGUAGUCC